rnacentral:rRNA from 1 species
UCUUGGGUCAAUUAGAGGAAGUAAAAGUCGUAACAAGGUCUCCGUUGGUGAACCAGCGGAGGGAUCAUUACUGAGUUUACGCUCUACAACCCUUUGUGAACAUACCUAUAACUGUUGCUUCGGCGGGUAGGGUCUCCGUGACCCUCCCGGCCUCCCGCCCCCGGGCGGGUCGGCGCCCGCCGGAGGAUAACCAAACUCUGAUUUAACGACGUUUCUUCUGAGUGGUACAAGCAAAUAAUCAAAACUUUUAACAACGGAUCUCUUGGUUCUGGCAUCGAUGAAGAACGCAGCGAAAUGCGAUAAGUAAUGUGAAUUGCAGAAUUCAGUGAAUCAUCGAAUCUUUGAACGCACAUUGCGCCCGCCAGCAUUCUGGCGGGCAUGCCUGUUCGAGCGUCAUUUCAACCCUCAAGCUCUGCUUGGUGUUGGGGCCCUACAGCUGAUGUAGGCCCUCAAAGGUAGUGGCGCACCCUCCCGGAGCCUCCUUUGCGUAGUAACUUUACGUCUCGCACUGGGAUCCGGAGGGACUCUUGCCGUAAAACCCCCAAUUUUCCAAAGGUUGACCUCGGAUCAGGUAGGAAUACCCGCUGAACUUAAGCAUAUCAAA